rnacentral:rRNA from 1 species
GGGUGGUAAAUUUCAUCUAAAGCUAAAUACUGGUCGGAGACCGAUAGCGCACAAGUAGAGUGAUCGAAAGAUGAAAAGCACUUUGAAAAGAGAGUUAAACAGCAUGUGAAAUUGUUGAAAGGGAAGCGCUUGCGACCAGAGUCGGCCGCGGGGGUUCAGCGGGCAUUCGUUGCCCGUGCACUCCCCCGUGGCCGGGCCAGCGUCGGUUUCGACGGCCGGUCAAAGGCCCCCGGAAUGUGUCGCCUCUCGGGGCGUCUUAUAGCCGGGGGUGCAAUGCGGCCAGUCGGGACCGAGGAACGCGCUUCGGCACGGACGCUGGCUUAAUGGUCGUAAGCGACCCGUCUUGAAACACGGAC